AUCGCAUGGUGAGGGCACUUGUAGAUGAGAUCUUUGAGCCUCUCCUAAGUUUCAUGAAAUAUUUUUCCAUCCAUUUGGAAAAAAUUGGUUAUGGUUUUUCUGAUUU